UACGGAGGGGGCUAGCGUUGUUCGGAAUUACUGGGCGUAAAGCGCACGUAGGCGGACCAGCAAGUUGGGGGGUGAAAUCCCGGGGCUCAACCCCGGAACUGCCUUCAAAACUGCGGGUCUGGAGGUCGAGAGAGGUGAGUGGAAUUCCGAGUGUAGAGGUGAAAUUCGUAGAUAUUCGGAGGAACACCAGUGGCGAAGGCGGCUCACUGGCUCGAUACUGACGCUGAGGUGCGAAAGCGUGGGUAGCAAACAGG
rnacentral:rRNA from 1 species